GUGCCUGUCCUCCUACUUUGACACAGCCAAAUGCACAGCGAGCCACCAAAAUACUGAACAGCUGCAGAAGAGAAAAGGGAAAUGCUGACCUAGACCGCCGGCAGCGAUGACUCUUCCUCCCAGGCAUCCUGCCACAAAGUCAGCCCUCUUCUCCCUCAUCCUGGAUGCUCGAGUGGGUUUGAUCCAAAUACCUGCAAAAGGCUGGUGCAGGGCAUGCUGGAGGAUCUACAUCUCCCAGCAGGCCUGGGGACACCUGGAAAUCGACCAGGAGCUGGAGGAUACUGCAGGGUAAAAGAACUUCAGACCUGCUCUGCCUGCCCUGCCACCACAGCAACCUUGACUGGGCUAACCGCCAUGAAAUUGGGUGGAUGGAUGAAUGAACAAAUGAACAACUCAGAUCUCCAGGCCACUGAGCUAACUGUCACCAGAGAGCAGCUAUCUCGGCUAACAGAGUGGUCAUUUUUUUUAGAAGUCCACUUCAACAGCAGCUGCAGGCACUGGGGGAAAAUGACCGGCAAUCACAAGCUUUGCCAAGAUUGCAGAGGCAAGCUUAAACAGGUCGGACGUUUUCCUUAAGUUCUGAGUUCAGCAAAAACACUGCCAAAGUUGUUAGGGAGGCAGAGACCAUUUCCUGUUCUCUGCUCUCUCUCUUAUGCAUACUGCUGACACUUUCCUGUUUGCAAUAACGUCUUGGCUGUGGUUAAAUUUGUUCCGCAUCACUGCCCUGGAAGGCAAAAGACAAAUUCAUAUUUGGU